GGGCGGGCGGGGCUGGUCUGCUCUGGGCCGAGGGGUCCCCAUACGGCGCCUGAUGCGGGGUGCGGUGCCUCUACACAGCAAGUGCCCUCAGGGCACUGAAGCGAUGUAACUUCUCUGAGCUAGUGUACCUUCUGUGAAGAGUAAUUUCACCGUUUUUGUCUCUCUGAGUUUAUUACAACCACUUCCCUAUACAUUUUCAUAUACGGCGUGGUUUUUAAUCUCCUGAUCAGAAUUAAGUAUAUACGCCUAGAAAAGAUGUUAUAUAACAGCAACACAAUAAACAAUGAUUGCACCAUGACUAUGCAAUACGAACCAGUCCUUUACAAAAUUACAGUGUAGUCAAAAUGCAGAUGAAACAAAAAUGACAAGGGAAAGAUUGCCAUUUGUUAAUAUGAAGAACACAGCUUCCACAUUGCUUCAAUAUCAUUUCAGUCUUCUUUCCCCUCCUAACUACUUCCUUUGGCAAAUGAGAACAACCUUUUAUGUUAAUAUGGGUUUUUUCGCAUUCCAUGACAGUUAAGAUUGAGUCAUUUGAAAAGGUUUAGAUUUGACUCGUGUGAAAACAGUUUGAAAAACAAAAGUGAGAAGUAAAUUUGUACUGAAACACAGAGUUUUCUAUUUGAAAAUGUUACAAGAGUACUUUUCAACAAAUCUAGUGCCAUUUUCAAAACCCAAAACUUUCCCCACAGUUUUUGAGGAACUGGCAUUUCUUCUUUCAAGACAGAAGAAAAAGAACAACUUUUACUGCAUCCAUUACUGCAGAUUGCCCUAGAUUAACUUCCCUAUAACUAUUGCUUCUGUGCUUCCCCUUACUGGCCUUAAGCUUAUGGCAGCCCAGGACCACUAGCGUCUUGACUUCUCUUCAUCUAGGUUGCUACUAAUGCACAUUUUUAUCUGAAAGUUGGAAAAGUGCUGACUCAUGCUUAGACACUGUUCAGUAUGUCACAGUACGCUCAACAGAAACCAAAAUUACUCUCCCACCAAGUGAUCUCAAUUCUCAUGUCAAAUAGUUUUAUUUUACACCGUGAUCUUAUACCUACAACAUACUAGCAUAUCUAUAGCUUAUGAUUCUGUUUCUGAGUUCUGUUCUGUGACUGUCCAAGGUGGAGACAAUAACUGUUUUUCUAGUGCAAAUUUUCUCUUUCCAUGCAUAAUGUACAAAAUGAAGUUUCACUAAAAAUUUGCUUUGAGCUUACACAAGGAACUCAUUUAGAGGUUCAUUAAGUGCAUGUAAUAGUAGUUCUAGGCAGGUCAAAGCCAGAAGGAAGACAGGCGGGUGGAGGAGGAUAGAUUAGCAUAGGAAGAGCUAGCCACCCAAUUGUCUAACUGGGUCACCUCUGCUAUCUCACAUACAUAUCUUAUGUAUCUUGUGUUAGCCUGGCAGCAAAGUAACGGUUCUUGUGUAAAAUGGUCACCACUGCUGGGAAGUUCAUAUCUGUGUGUUACAGCAGCCUUAAACGCCUUUUACACCAAUCACAACAUGCAGAGGUAUGAAAGCCCC